ACCUCAUCGGCCGGAGAGGAUUCCUUCCAGUUAAUGAGGUAUAACAACCUCAUUGACCGGAAGGAAUCCCUUCUGAUUGAUGAGGUUGUUACAUCUCAUUGACCGGAAAGAAUCCCUUCCAAUUGAUGAGGU
rnacentral:miRNA from 1 species